AGUGCGAUGCGGUUUAACUGCGGU
rnacentral:siRNA from 1 species